rnacentral:lncRNA from 1 species
GGAAACCUAUCUGCUCAUCUGUCUGUCCAGCGCCUUCCUCUGGGCAUCCACAAGGUGCGUCUGGCCAGCCCUGCAUUCAAGAGGUGCAACACCUCCGUAGAGGAGAGAUGAAGAUGCAGAGAAGAUGAAACAUCCCACAGGGAUCAUUGUGCUGAGGGAUUACGAGGGGCAGGAAGACGCUGACUGUUUUCCUCCUUCGUCCCUCUGCGAGGAAAAUCCUGGAGUAAAGCACCUGAGUGCUAAAGAAGACGUUUACCUGUAUGGAUCUGCUGGAUUAUUACCUGAGUGACACCUGGGCAGACUGCACGGGAUUAUUUCAGAUUAGUUGCUGUUACCUGAUGUUUCCUCCUGCGCUGCAGAGAAUGGUGAGUUAUGACAAUUUAUAUGACAAAUAUUACAGAUAUGUAUGUAUAGGUCUUUCUCUAUUUUCUUCUUUCUUUCUAAGUCUAUAUCUCUUGCCCACUA